rnacentral:lncRNA from 1 species
AAAUGUCUCCACAUUUCCUUUUCUCCAUUUGCACCCCGCUCUCCAGAAAAUGUCUCCACAUUUCCUUUUCUCCAUUUGAACCCCGGAAUCGCGCUGAUCGCGUAACGUCUUCUGAUAUCAUUUCCAUCUCUGUCCGACGGAAACAUUUCCUCCAAUAUCGCACUACUGGGGAACACUGUUGAUCUGACGUCCUGGUACCACACUCCUCAGAG